GGCCAGGACCCCUGUCCAUGUCUUGUCUCCUCUGCCCUUCCACAUUGUAGGAGGGGCUGCUCUGGGGUGCACUGCUCUAGCUGUGCUGACCUUGCCAUAGGGGUGCUCUCUUCUGGGCUGGGGAAGUGGGCAGGGUAAGCCAUGGGCACGUCUUGACCUGGAGCCUCCCUAACACAGGGAACGAGGCCUGAGCACAUUCUUGUUCCGACCUCACUGUGGGGAAGCCGGCUCCAUCACUCACCUAGUGUCUGCCUUCCUGACUGCAGACAACAUUUCCCACGGGCUGCUCCUCAAGAAGAGUCCUGUUUUGCAGUAUCUCUACUACCUUGCUCAGAUUCCUAUUGCCAUGUCUCCUCUCAGCAACAACAGCCUGUUUCUGGAAUAUUCCAAGAACCCACUUCGGGAAUUCCUACACAAGGGAUUAC
rnacentral:lncRNA from 1 species